AGGCAGAUUUGUUUUCCUUUUUUGAAUUUUUACAAUUUUGUAACAGGAUGGUAAAUAGUGCUUAGCUCACGCUGUUCUGUGGGAAAUUAAAGGUAGAAAAAACCAAUAAUUAGAAUGAUUGUUACAAAAUGAAUUGUAAUAAGUUUCAUUGUAAGACUGAACAGUAAGAGUUUAGACCGAUUUAUUGGAAUAGGCACUUAGCUGGAGUCCUGCUGGGAGAUCUUUCUCGGUUUACUUCUUUUUUGAGCCAUACAGCAGAACACACUCUGUCAGUAAUCCCAGCUUAGUACUCUGCAGAAUCCCAGACAGCACUAAAUUGCCAUAAUGGAUACGAUGCUAGGCAUGGCUUACAAGUGCGACCCUUGUGCCAUUUGCCAUCGCUGAUGAAAGAUUCUUAGGAUAAGAAAAGGAAACAACUAAAAAAUUGAUCAUUCAGAAUCAUGCACAUACUUCAAAAUUAUUUUCAUAAAUUUAAAUCCAGCUACUUGUUUUCAGUCAGGAAACCAGUGGAUGAUUCUUUCCUGACGGACUUUAGCAAAUUAUCAAUCAAAACCAACCUACGAAAAUAUGCUGAGGACCAAAAGAAAACAGUGUGAGAAGGAAGAGGGGGAUGAACCACCCAAGAAAUCAAAGCAAGGGGAAGUUCUAGAAGAAGGUGAAUGUUCAGAUAGUGACAACGAAGAAAUCAAAGAAACUGAUGAAAAUGUGAAAGAUGACGCGGAGACCAAAGUCGAAGAUCCAGCCACGCCUUUGAUUCAGUCGAAUGGGGAUGCAACAUCUAAGCCAAACUCAAGCAUUGAUAAUGAUGAAUUUGACACCGGUAAUUUAUUUUUAAUUUUUUCCCCAUCAAUUUUCUGAAAUAGAUUGAUUGUAACUGUUUCAUUUUUAACUGCAGUGGUAUCACUUUUUACGAUUGAAAUUUAUUCCUUAACCCGUUAAAACUGCAGCAGCCUGUAAAUUCUCAGCAUACCUCUCACGAACACUCUUCCUUCUUGCACUUAAGA
rnacentral:lncRNA from 1 species